UGCUAUAAAUUAUUUUUUCCGAAAUUUCGAAAACAUACAAAAAUGUGUAGUGUAUUUCAAAAUCAAUUGACAAACUAAAAAUAUUUGCUUUGUUUGGAAAAAGAAUUUACUCAUGAUGAUAUCAUCUCGGAUUAUGAAAUAUUUAUAACAAACUCGAACUGUGAACAUAAUUAAAUUAUUUUUAAAGAACCCGUGGCAAAUGUCAUACUAACUGUCAUAUUCAAAUACAAUUUCUUAUGACUUUAUGACUUAUGAGAAAGAAAGAGACAAACAAGUGGAGUGACACAAGUUCUUUCGGAUUCUUAAUUAUUUAAAAAAAUUAAAAUAUUUUGCAUUCAAUGGAAAGUAUCAGUAAACUGUGAAAACAUGGCAAAUCGAAAAGUGUUCGGAUUAUUUUUCACCGGAAUCAUAAUUUUCGAGCUUCUAAUUUCCCACGUUCAUAGUAGCCCAAAAGAUGACCGAGUAUGCAGCAAAAGAGCUGCCGUUAGAAGAUCAACGAAUUAAAAGAAUCGUAAAAAGAGGAAUUCGUCGCUGCCGGAACUAAACAUCAACAAACAACCAUUGAGUGAACCUUUAAAAGAAAUCAAGAAUAUUUACGAUUUUUUGGAAAAAUGUCUCAAGAAAAAGGUUUAUGAUCAAUAGCACAGUCACUUGAAGUGAAAUUGUUUAAGAACAAUAAUUCAAUUGAAGUAUUAGCAAGCAAUUUUAAGCCAUAUACAUUUAGUAACUUCCCACAAACUCGCAGAUUGAAACGCAGCAGCUGGUUAUCAAAACGACAACUUCUGGCACAAACAAUACUGCUUUUGGACAAUCAAUACUUUUUUUGAUGAAAAUACAUUUCUAUUCGAAUAUAAUACCAGCAAUAGAGCAAAUGACUGUGAAUAUUCCGGAAACUGAACGUGAUGAUAGUUUUGUUCGUUUUUGUGGUUCCAGACUAUCUUUGAACACAAAAGCUGAAAAACCCGAUGCUGAUGCAGUUAUUCUAUUGGAAAACUUGAAAUUUCAAGGCUAUAAUAGUUUAAGUAGAUGGUAUAAGUUGGAUAGAGAUGAAAUUAGGGCGACUUUAAAGAGCAUGGCGUAUUUACAUGCGCUCACUAUUUCUAUGAGACAUUUGCAGCCAACUGUUUAUUAUUCGGAAAUUGAUCCUUACUUACAAUCAGAUCAUGACACUGUUUUAAUGAGUAUUUAAUUCAAAUAGCAGAGAUUACUCUCAACCAUGACGACAAAAACACAAACAUCAAUUAUGUUGCAAUUGAAUGAUGCAAAAGACAAACUACGAAGUUCUGCCCGAACUCCUGACACACCGUAUACAACAAUAUAUCAUGGAGAUUUAUGGUCACCAAACAUCAUGAUUAAAAAGGGUAGAUUUUAUUAUAUUUUUGUGCGGUGUACACUGUACAGCUAUAAAUUCGUUAUUAAUGGAGAUAAAAGUACUAUGUCACCGUGUGGAACACAAAUUAGCCCAUGAACUAGCCCAUGAAAAAUGAGUGAGUUACCCUGGGUGACAGCUCCUUUCACGGAGUUGGGUGUUUUAGGCUUAGGUCAUUUGGUUUGAUGAUGAUUUAUAUGAUCUAAUACAUUAAAUUAUUUCUAAUUCAUCUGUUAUCAAAUGAUUGUAAACAUCGUACCACUUGCGAAAGUUUUUAAUAAAUUUAAUCAUCAAAAAUUCAAGUCGUUUAGAGUAAAGUGAAUGUGAUGUCGGGAGAUAAGUGUAUUAUAUUUGUAUUGAUACUUGAAAUUUUGAGCAUGAAUGCGUUGCCUUCAACAUCCAAAGCGUUGAAUAUAGCUGUUAUUGGAGCUGGAGCAGCAGGCCUUGCGAGUGCAAAAAACGCCCUCGAACAAGGACCUAAUGUAGUGAUCUACGAACAAACAGAAGCACUGGGUGGAAUAUGGUUUUACACAAAACCGGAAAAGAUGAGCACGGUGUUGAUAUUCACACUCCAAUGUAUCAAGAGCUAAGAAUAUCCGGGACAUAAAUAUCCAAAUAAUACACAAUCAUAUCCAUCACAUGAGGAUGUAUUGAAAUACCUGAACUCUUGCGCUGAACGCAUGGAAACAUUUGAAUAAACACAUAAAAUUCCAUCAUUUCGUCGAGAAAAUUCAUUCAAUUCAAAAUGACCAACGGAUCGUAGUUGUCAAAGAUUUGCCUAACAACAGGACUAUAUCGGCGAUUUAUGAUGCGAUUUUCGUUUGCUUUAAUAAGUUUUCAUCACCAAAUUAUCCGCAAAUUGAAGGCGCCAAUUUAUUCAAAGGAAAAAUUAUGCAUAGCCAUGAUUACCGUAGAGCCAAACAUUUUCUGAUAGAUCUUUAACUUAAAAUAAAUCACAAACCAGAUUUAUUUUAAUCAUGAAAUCGACUUUAUUUGGUUGAUAUGGUAAUGGUUAUUAUGAUAAUUUUCGGUAAUGGUUUCCACAAAUACGUUUUACACAGGCCAGUAAUUUAACCAAAAGUGGGCUUCGUCGAAAAAGAUUCUUUUUCGGUAUAUUUCCGUAUCAUUUUGGAGCUUCUGCAGGGCCCAACCGACGAAUGUGCGGCACCUUGGAUGGUUAUGCCACUUCAGUUCUUGUACCAACUGGAUUUUAUAGGCCUUCAGACCAAGAUCUUUUCGUAAAAUUCCGGACAAAGAUCAUCUUGUUGUGCACGGCGUCGAAUUGAUAAAAAGAACCGUAAAAAAUCUCGUUUCUAAUUACCUCAUCAUAAAUUACGAUUCUCCAAAUUCUCCCCCGUAAUUAUUUUUUUCGAGUGGAAUCAAAAAACUCCUUUUUACACUAGAAUUGGAUUCUAUGCUUACCUCUCUCGAUUUUUUUCCACCUAAAAUCUGAUGUUUGUAAUUGGAAGUUACAUUCAUAAGGAAACAUUGAGAAAAAAAAAAGCAAUCGUUUCACUUUCGCUUAAGAAACCGUUUUGAUAUGUGUAUAAUAAAAUAUGCUCAGCAAAUGACCUCAUACGUAUAAUGGAAUAAGUUUAUCUGUACAGAAAAUGUUUAAAUGAAAAGAUAUCGAAGAGAUUGAUAUACCGUUCGAACUAUGCUGAAAAAAGUAAUUUGAUUGCGAUUAAAAUAAAAUAAAAAAUUAGAUUUUCAGCCAAAUAAAUUUUUUCAUCGUCUAAAGUACGGCGCACACAAAAAUGU